rnacentral:rRNA from 1 species
CUGGCCUCAAAUCAGGUAGGGCUACCCGCUGAACUUUAGCAUAUCAAUAAGCGGAGGAAAAGAAACUAACUAGGAUUCCCUUAGUAACGGCGAGUGAACCGGGAUGAGCUCAAAUUUGAAAUCUGGCGUCCUUCAAGCGUCCGAAGUUGUAAUCUAUAGAGGCGUUUUCCGCGCCGGACCCGCGUCCAAGUCUCUUGGAAUAGAGUAUCAAAGAGGGUGACAAUCCCGUACUUGACGCGACAACCGGUGCUCUGUGAUACGUUCUCAAUGAGUCGAGUUGUUUGGGAAUGCAGCUCUAAAUGGGUGGUAAAUUCCAUCUAAGGCUAAUAUUGGCGAGAGACCGAUAGCGAACAAGUACCGUGANGGAAAGUUG